rnacentral:rRNA from 1 species
GACGAACGCUGGCGGCGUGCCUAAUACAUGCAAGUCGAGCGAACGGACGAGAAGUUUGUUUCUUGGACGUUUGCCGCGCGCGUGUGUGUCACAUGUGUAUACUCCCCCUAUAAGACUGGGAACACUUCGGAACACUGGCUCAUACCGCAUAUAAUAUUUUGAUGCGUAUGGUUCAAUUGAGAAAGACGGUCUUGCUGUCACUAAUAGAUGCUUCCGGGCUGUAUUAGCUAGUUGGUAAGGUAACGGCUUACCACGGCAACGCUGCAUAGCCGACAUGAGAGGGGGAUCGCCCACACUGGAACGGGAACACGGUCCAGACUCCUACGGGAGGCAGCAGAAGGGAAUCUUCGGCAAAGGGCGAAAGCCUGCCGGAGCAAGGCCGCGUGGGUGAUAAAGGUCUUCGGAUCGUAAGACCCUGUUAUUGGGGAGAAACAUAUGUGGAAGGGACUGUGCACAUCGUGACGGUACCUAAUCAGAAAGCCACGGCUAACUACGUG